ensembl:lncRNA
GUGGACCUGGCCUGGCUCUAGGCACCAGGCUGAAUGGUAAUCCCAGCAGAAGAAACGUGAGAGACGCCAGGAUGUAGGUUCUACAAGAGAAGCGGCUUGUUCAUCCUCUUUACUGUUAUCAUCCCAACUCCAGAAACACAGAAAGAGUGCAAUAAAUGGUGAACAAAUAAAAGGAGAAGAGGAUGGAACAGCACGUUUGCGCCCAUGAUUUCCCUGUCAGUUGGUGCCAUCUAACAGGAGGCUGUUGUUAUUGUUCAGCCGCUCAGCCGUGUCUCUUUGUGACCCCAUGGGCUGCAGCACGCCAGGCUCCCCUGUCCUCCACCACCUCCCAGAGUUUGCUCGAACUCAUAUCCAUUGGCUCAGUGAUGCCAUCCAACCA